GAAAAUGUGUGAUUUGUGGGAUGAUGGGGUAUUUUUGAAGAGAUAAAGCAUGAUUUGGGGGUAAAUGCGGGAUUUUUGAAGAGCAAAAGUGUGAUUUUCGAGUUAAAUGGGGGAUUGUUGAAGGGAAAAUGUGUGAUUUUCAGUUAAAUCGCGGCAUCUCUAAGAGAAAAUGCUUGAUGUUUGCAUUAAAUGUGUGAUUUUCAGGUUACAUGGGAGAUUUUUGAGGAGAAAAUGCGUGAUUUUCGGGAUAAAUGAGGGAUUCUUGAAGAGAAAAUGCAUCAUUUUCGGGUUAAAUGGGGGAUUCUGGAAGAGAAAUUGCAUUUUCUUCUGGUUAAAUGGGGGAUUUUCGAAGAGAAAAUGCUCGAUUUUCGUUUACAGGUGAGAUUUUUGUAGAGGAAAUGCGUGAUUUUUUGGAUACAUGGGGGAUUCCUGUAGCAAAACUGUUUGAUUUUGGGGUCCAAUGGGGGAUUUUUGAAGAGCAAAA
ensembl:lncRNA